rnacentral:rRNA from 1 species
UACAGAGGUGGCAAGCGUUGUUCGGAAUUACUGGGCGUAAAGGGCGCGUAGGCGGUCUUGCAAGUCCCGUGUGAAAUCCCUCGGCUCAACUGAGGAAUUGCACGGGAAACUGCUUGGCUUGAGAUCGGGAGAGGGAAGCGGAAUUCCGGGUGUAGCGGUGAAAUGCGUAGAUAUCUGGAGGAAUACCGGUGGCGAAGGCGGCAUCCUGGACCGGCAUUGACGCUGAUGAGCGAAAGCUAGGGGAGCAAACGGG